AGACGACGAGCCAGAAUACAUUUUUGUCCGUCGCCAACCAGUGGAGGAGACACCUGUGCCAAUGAUUUAUGGGGGCCCUAGACAGGGGCAAGAUAGGUGGGCUGGCCCAGAAGCGGGCAGGCAGCAGCCCACUUAUACAAGAGGUAAACUAAAGCAAUGUUUAAA